rnacentral:rRNA from 1 species
AUUGAACGCUGGCGGCAUGCUUUACACAUGCAAGUCGAACGGUAACAGGUUAAGCUGACGAGUGGCGAACGGGUGAGUAAUGCAUCGGAACGUGCCCGGUCGUGGGGGAUAACGCAGCGAGAGCUGCGCUAAUACCGCAUACGAUCUGAGGAUGAAAGCGGGGGACCGUAAGGCCUCGCGCGAUCGGAGCGGCCGAUGUCAGAUUAGGUAGUUGGUGGGGUAAAGGCUCACCAAGCCAACGAUCUGUAGCUGGUCUGAGAGGACGACCAGCCACACUGGGACUGAGACACGGCCCAGACACCUACGGGAGGCAGCAGUGGGGAAUUUUGGACAAUGGGCGAAAGCCUGAUCCAGCAAUGCCGCGUGCAGGAAGAAGGCCUUCGGGUUGUAAACUGCUUUUGUACGGAGCGAAAAGGUCUCCUCUAAUACAGGGGGCUCAUGACGGUACCGUAAGAAUAAGCACCGGCUAACUACGUACCAGCCGCCGCCGUAA